rnacentral:rRNA from 1 species
UACGAAGGGGGCUAGCGUUGUUCGGAAUCACUGGGCGUAAAGCGCACGUAGGCGGAUCUUUAAGUCAGAGGUGAAAUCCCAAGGCUCAACCUUGGAACUGCCUUUGAUACUGGGGAUCUUGAGUCCGGGAGAGGUGAGUGGAACUGCGAGUGUAGAGGUGAAAUUCGUAGAUAUUCGGAAGAACACCAGUGGCGAGGGCGACUCACUGGACAUGUAUUGACGCUGAGGUGCGAAAGCGUGGGGAGCAAACAGG